UCAUAAGAAAAUACGCCUCAGAGGGAGGU
rnacentral:sRNA from 1 species